GAUGAACGCUGGCGGCGUGCCUAAUACAUGCAAGUCGAGCGAACGGACGAGAAGCUUGCUUCUCUGAUGUUAGCGGCGGACGGGUGAGUAACGCGUGGAUAACCUACCUAUAAGACUGGGAUAACUUCGGGAAACCGGAGCUAAUACCGGAUAAUAUUUUGAACCGCAUGGUUCAAAAGUGAAAGACGGUCUUGCUGUCACUUAUAGAUGGAUCCGCGCUGCAUUAGCUAGUUGGUAAGGUAACGGCUUACCAAGGCAACGAUGCAUAGCCGACCUGAGAGGGUGAUCGGCCACACUGGAACUGAGACACGGUCCAGACUCCUACGGGAGGCAGCAGUAGGGAAUCCUCCGCAAUGGGCGAAAGCCUGACGGAGCAACGCCGCGUGAGUGAUGAAGGUCUUCGGAUCGUAAAACUCUGUUAUUAGGGAAGAACAUAUGUGUAAGUAACUGUGCACAUCUUGACGGUACCUAAUCAGAAAGCCACGGCUAACUACGUG
rnacentral:rRNA from 1 species